AGGUUUCAAAAGUCAUAAAUGCGUACAUGCUUGCAUGUUAAGCAUUUUGAAUUUUGAAACCGAACAAACAUGAGGAAUAAGCAAUUUACGUAGUAAAUUCGCGGUUUCCGAAUGGUUGUAGAAUUGCGGGAAUGACGGUAGUCAUGGAGCAAUUCGU
rnacentral:sRNA from 1 species